UACGUAGGGUGCGAGCGUUGUCCGGAAUUACUGGGCGUAAAGAGCUUGUAGGUGGUUUGUCGCGUUGUUCGUGAAAUCUCACGGCUUAACUGUGAGCGUGCGGGCGAUACGGGCAGACUAGAGUACUGCAGGGGAGACUGGAAUUCCUGGUGUAGCGGUGGAAUGCGCAGAUAUCAGGAGGAACACCGGUGGCGAAGGCGGGUCUCUGGGCAGUAACUGACGCUGAGGAGCGAAAGCGUGGGGAGCGAACAGG
rnacentral:rRNA from 1 species